rnacentral:lncRNA from 1 species
GCCAGGCACAGUGGUGGGCACCGGGAAUACAAUGGCAGCAAGGUGGAUACUGACCCCAGCCUCACAGCUCUCAGAAUGGGCGAGACUGUGUUAAAUAAGUAAUCACAACACAGUGAGAUGUUGUGGUAAAGAUGUCUGGGUAUUGUGUAAGCAUGGAAGAGACGGAUUUAAAUAGGAUGUGGCAUUUAGAAUCCAGAGGAUAAACAGCAGUUAACUAAAUGAAGAGAAGGAGGAAGCCUUCCAGAAAUACUGAAAGACCAAAUAGAAGCCCGAAAGUGUGAACAAGAACAGAAAGAGUUCAAUACAUCUGAGGGGAAAAAAAACACAGACACACACAAAACACCUGGGCCCAACUGGGAACGAAAGUGAGCAAAGCUGAGGCAGGAAAAGUUGGCAAUGGCCGGGUCAAGGAUGACUUUCUAACUCAAGUUAAGAUAUUUGAACCACAAUAUCUAUCUACCUUUGCCCUUUGCACCGUGUGGUUUUGGUGGAUGACUGUUAGGGAUUUUCUUUUUCUCCUGUGAAUGUUAAAAUCUGUUUUGUACUACUAAGGAACUUAGUUUGGCUUGCGGAAAUUGACUCAAAAGCAGAGCCUGGAGAUCCACCAAGCUUAACCCACCCAGUGCUGUAGCAUAGAUCCGUCAAUAACCCAAACCCAUCAAUAACCCAGCCAGCCAAUGGGAGGAAAUGCAUGACCAGGGGCUGGGCUCUGAGCUGGAGGCUUGGUGAAGCAGAGAUGACAGAUGCCACUGCUUUCUGCCAAAUACCCAUUCCAACCUCAUUAGUGUAUCGUGUAAAGAUGAGCGUGCAAGAAUCAUGCUGAAAACAAAGGCAGCCUGGAGGGCUGCCCACAGGCUGGUACGCGGCUGUGUCGCUGGGGGCUAGGCCGGGCAGUCUGGGCUGGCUUCACCUUGCUCAGCUUUACUCCACUGACUCCGGGUCGAGAUGUGGAGAGGAGUUUGCUGUGCUUUUACACCAGUCCCAAGGGCUGUGUGCAAAGCAGUUCUGGAAUUCCCACACAGCAACCUGUUAAGGGGCACAUAGAC